rnacentral:rRNA from 1 species
CCAAACGGGUGGCUGCAGUGGGGACUCUUGGUCACUGGACGAACGUCUGACCCAGCGACGCCGCGUGGAGGAUGAAGGCCGAACGGUUGUAAACUCCUUUUAUGAAGGAAAAAUGGAAGGACUCGAAUAGGGUCCUAUCCUUGAUAGUACUUUAUGAAUAAGCCCCAGCUAACUACGUGCCAGCAGCUGCGGUAAAACGUAGGGGGCGAGCGUUAUCCGGAAUUACUGGGUGUAAAGGGUACGUAGGCGGAUUUGUAAGUUGGGUGUAAAAACUCAGGGCUUAACCUUGAGCUUGUGCCCAAUACUGCAAGGCUAGAGAGCAGGAGAGGGAAGCGGAAUUCCCGGUGUAGGGGUAAAAUCCGUAGAUAUCGGGAGGAACACCAGUGGCGAAGGCGGCUUCCUGGACUGUCUCUGACGCUCAUGUACGAAAGCGUGGGGAGCAAACA